GAUGAACGCUGGCGGCGUGCUUAACACAUGCAAGUCGAGCGAAGCACCUUGACGGAUUUCUUCGGAUUGAAGCCUUGGUGACUGAGCGGCGGACGGGUGAGUAACGCGUGGGUAACCUGCCUCAUACAGGGGGAUAACAGUUGGAAACGGCUGCUAAUACCGCAUAAGCGCACAGUACCGCAUGGUACGGUGUGAAAAGCUCCGGUGGUAUGAGAUGGACCCGCGUCUGAUUAGGUAGUUGGUGGGGUAACGGCCUACCAAGCCGACGAUCAGUAGCCGACCUGAGAGGGUGACCGGCCACAUUGGGACUGAGACACGGCCCAAACUCCUACGGGAGGCAGCAGUGGGGAAUAUUGCACAAUGGGGGAAACCCUGAUGCAGCGACGCCGCGUGAGCGAUGAAGUAUUUCGGUAUGUAAAGCUCUAUCAGCAGGGAAGAAAAUGACGGUACCUGACUAAGA
rnacentral:rRNA from 1 species